UACGGAGGACCCAAGCAUUAUCCGGAAUUACUGGGCGUAAAGAGUUGCGUAGGUGGCAUAGUAAGCGAAAUGUGAAAGCGUACAGCUCAACUGUAUAGACAUGUUUCGAACUGCUAAGCUUGAGGACGAGAGAGGUAGAUGGAAUUACUAGUGUAGGAGUGAAAUCCGUAGAUAUUAGUAGGAACACCGAUGGCGUAGGCAGUCUACUGGCUCGUUUCUGACACUAAGGCACGAAAGCGUGGGGAGCAAACGGG
rnacentral:rRNA from 1 species